AACAAUGAUGUGUUCAUUUCCAAGCACAUAUUUGAUGAUUCUAUGCACAGGAGUUCACCGGAGUU